rnacentral:rRNA from 1 species
UGGGUUGUCGGCUGGUCCCCUCGGAAGGGGGCAAUGUGCACGCCUGCUCUGGGUUGCUUGCUUAUCCUCCUGUGCACUUCUUGUGGCCGCUGCUCGAAAAGAGUCGGUCAUGUAUUUGUUAUAGACGAAUGUAAUGGGAUGUGUCUACAGUUGGUAUUGUCAUAUACAACUUUCAGCAACGGAUCUCUUGGCUCUCGCAUCGAUGAAGAACGCAGCGAAAUGCGAUAAGUAAUGUGAAUUGCAGAAUUCAGUGAAUCAUCGAAUCUUUGAACGCACCUUGCACUCCUUGGUAUUCUGAGGAGUAUGCCUGUUUGAGUGUCAGUUAAUUCUCGACCUGUCUGAGUUUUCCUCGGGUGGGCUUUGGAUGUGGAGGUUGUCGGCCGGUCGUUUGGGUCGGCUCCUCUGAAAUGUAUUAGUGGAAGUCGCAUAGGACUUGCUACAGGUGUAAUAAUUUCUGCGCCGGCGGGUUUGCUGUGACUUCAGCUUCAAGUUGACUAGGUCUAUAACGAAGGCCUUUGACUACUUUGACCUCAAAUCAGGUGGGAGUACCCGCUGAACUUAAGCAUAUCAAUA